rnacentral:rRNA from 1 species
GCUCGUAGUUGGAUUUCUGUGGGGACGGAGCGGCCGGCCGCAACUUGCGGUUCGAGCUAGCGCUUUCCCUACAUCCUGCCGCGAACCGUGCUACCAUUAGUUUGGUGGCGCCGGGGAUCGGCUCGUUUACUUUGAGGAAAAUAGAGUGUUCAAAGCAGGCCACACGCCUUGAAUAAGUUAGCAUGGAAUAAUAAUAAAGGACUUCGGUUCUAUUUUGUUGGUGUUCGGGACUGAAGUAAUGAUUGAUAGGGACAGUUGGGGCGGUCAGUAUUCCAAAGCGAGAGGUGAAAUUCUUAGACCUUCGGAAGACUAACAGCUGCGAAAGCGUUCCGCAAGGAUGUUCCCUUUGAUCAAGAACGAAAGUUGGGGGAUCGAAGACGAUCAGAUACCGUCGUAGUCUCAACUAUAAACUAUACCAGCUAGGGAUCGGCCAACGUUAAAUUAUUCGACUUGGUCGGCACCUUAUGAGAAAUCAAAGCAUCUGGGUUCCGGGGGGAGUAUGGUCGCAAGGCUGAAACUUAAAGGAAUUGACGGAAGGGCACCACCAGCCGUGGAGCCUGUGGCUUAAUUUGACUCAACACGGGAAAACUUACCAGGUCCAGACAUAGUAAGGAUUGACAGAUUGAUAGCUCUUUCUUGAUUCUGUGGGUGGUGGUGCAUGGCCGUUCUUAGUUGGUGGAGUGAUUUGUCUGGUUAAUUCCGUUAACGAACGAGACCCCAGCCUGCUAAAUAGCGUGGUUGAGCUUUGCUCGGCGCAAGCUUCUUAGAGGGACUAUGAUGCGCGAUAGCACAUGGAAGUUUGGGGCAAUAACAGGUCUGUGAUGCCCUUAGAUGUUCUGGGCCGCACACGGGCUACACUGGCGCCUGCAACGAGCAUAUCAGCUGGCCCGAGAGGGUCUUGGCUAAUCUUUUGAACCGGCGCCGUGCUUGGGAUUGACCAUUGCAAUUGUUGGUCAUGCAACGAGGGAAUGCCUUGUAAACGCGAGUCAUCAACUCGCAUUGAAUACGUCCCUGCCCUUUGUACACACCGCCCGUCGCUCUACCGAUGAUGUUCCGAUGAAAUUUCGAAAGCGCUUGUGAGUGG